rnacentral:rRNA from 1 species
GACGAACCGUGCGAACGUUGUUCGGAAUCACUGGGCUUAAAGGGCACGUAGGCGGCUCGGCAAAUCGGUCGUGGAAUCCCGACGCUUACCGUCGGAACGGCGGCCGAAAAUACCGGGCUCGAGGGCGUGAGGGGUCACUGGAACUCCUGGUGAAGCGGUGAAAUGCGUAGAUAUCAGGAGGAACGCCGGAGGCGAAAGCGAGUGACUGGCGCGUUCCUGACGCUGAGGUGCGAAAGCUAGGGGAGCGAACGGG